GUGCUCACUUUGGGAGCACAUAUACUACAACUGGAAUGAUACAGAGAUUAGCAUGGACCCUGUGCAAGGAUGACAUGCAAAUUCAUGAAGCAUUCCAUAUAUAUAU
rnacentral:snRNA from 1 species